rnacentral:rRNA from 1 species
ACGCUCGACACCUACGAGAGGCAGCAGUGGGGAAUAUUGCACAAUGGGGGAAACCCUGAUGCAGCAACGCCGCGUGAGUGAAGAAGUAUUUCGGUAUGUAAAGCUCUAUCAGCAGGGAAGAAAAUGACAGUACCUGACUAAGAAGCCCCGGCUAACUACGUGCCGGCAGCCGCGGUAAUCUGAGCGGGCUGGCAAGGC